CGCCCCCUGCCCCUUCCCUAACCCUAAGCCGCCGCCCCUGGCUCCUAGCAGCCGCCGCCAUCCCUUCUCCCUCUCCCUCCUCUCCUCUAGCUUCUCUCCCUCGCUUCCCUCCCCUGCAGCUUCCUCACGCCAUGCUUCCGGACCCGCGCCAAGCCUUGGCCACGCAGCGAGCGCCCAACCCGACGCAGCCGCGACACCGACCCUGCCCCUCCCUGCACUCGACGCGCCUGGAGCCCCGCCAGCCGAGUACUGUGAAGCGCGCCACCGACCGGCAUCCAGACCCGCGUCGAGCCCCAGCCCGACACCCCGGCUUCCCCGCGUCUACGCAGCAGCGCCCUGCUCAUCCGCAAGAACUGGCAGCGAAGCUUGUCGUUAAGGUAAUUCAGGAUUUAGCUGUAUUACUGCAAAAUAUUUUUGCCAGCCGUGCCACCACAGCCGCAUCACAGGUGGGCCACCGCUUAACUCUAUCCAUUUUGCAUCAACUUUUGCCCACUUCUGUUAUCUACAACGAGUCCUUCCCUUACCCAUGUUGGUUCACUGUCAUACGCCAUCCAACCACAGUUACAAAGCCCCAGCUAGACAUAGGGAGUUAGGAGCUUAAAACACCAUGAACUCCAGCUCUCCAAACUGAAUUCGAACAGACUGAACCACGGUUUCAGGCACCUAGACUGAACCUCUACUGUUAUCCUACCAAAAUCUCACUACUUCAAGUGGUAACAAAGGGAUCAACUUUAACACCAAUUGUUUACCAUAUUAUCCUCUAACUAAUUGUUGUAGGGGCUGUAGGCCAUAACACCAUGAAUCAGUCACAAAACAGCUCCAAAGACCGAAUAAAACUCAUUGCACCCACGUCAACUGAACAAAGUUCAGUUCUCUGAAUCUAAACCUUAGGCCACACUGCAUCCUUCCUGUUAAUCCUCAUUUUCUCACAAAUUUCAAUGACACCAGACCAACCCAGUUGGCCAAAAAUGCUCCCCAACCAUAGCACUAUCAGGUUACUACAACAAUCCAAGUCUAGCUCACACAGAACAAAAGUUACAAAUGCUCAAAGUGAACCCAAUCCACUGAAUAUCGUUUUCAGUUAACUGAAAACAAGAACCUGACGGAAAGCACUUUGGAAUAGAUUUACUCCCAACUUUGUGUAGCACCAAGCUAAGCACCUCUAAGUAAAGUUGUUCACUAAUACUUGGUCUUUAACCUUGCUACACAAGGCAUGUCUCACAACUGCAUAGAAUAGUCCCAAAGGAAGUUCAAAGUUGAGGCAACAUGACUGAAAUUCAGUCUGGAUUACUGAACAACAUGCAAUGCUCUUUUGCCUGACAGCACAAAUUUGUGCAGUUUGAGCAUGCCGACCCCCUCCCCCUUGCUGUCCAAACUGAAACAAAUUCAGCCCCACACGCCCAGUUACUGGAUUGGCUUGGAUUCCCCUUUCAACUACCAGCCUUCCGCAUCUUAAAGCACAGCUUCAAUUCACUAAAACAAUGGGCGAAUGGUUGCAGCGUGCAGAGCUUUCUGCUCCCAAAAACUGAAUCCAGUUUCCAGUCACUUGAAACAGAAUUCAGCACUAAUCAACUGAAGACCUACCUUUAACCCCUUUGAUCCUCACUAGUGCAAGCAAUACAUGCCAAUCUUAGUUAACAAAGAUUGUUCCCAACACAUAGAUUUAAAUGUUUGCAGCAGCAGCCUUAGGUCAAACAUUCAUGGAUCAAAAGUUAUGGUGCUCCAAAAUGGUGUGAAAAUACAAGAAUUCAGGUUCAGCUAGCUGAAACAAAAACUGAAAUCAACACCAGACAGAGAGAGUUUGGGCACAAUUUACUCCAAAUUUGGUGCAGCACCAAAUCAAACUUAUUUAAGGAAACUUGUUCACUAACUUAUGAUCUCCAAUGUUUCUAUAUAAUUCAUAGUUUAAGACCUAAUGGAAUGGCCACACAAGUGCUCUAAACAGGGCACCAAUCGCUGAAAUUCAGUUGUCUGUUAACUGAACAAAAUUUAGUCCAUGUAAACACUGACAGCCCACUUUUGAGUAACUUUUACUCCAUGUUCUGGGUCAGAUCAGGCCUAAUGCACAUAACGAAAUUUGUUCACUGACAUAUGCUCUUCAACUCUCCUAUAGCAACCAUGGUCCAAAGCUGCCUAGAACAGGCAACACACAGCCCCAAAAUGGCACUAAAAACACUGAUUUCAGAAUUAGGCAACUAUUCGAAGUCUGAAAAUCCAGAAGUCUGACAGUCCCACUUUGAACACCUUUUUCUCCUAGUUGCAUAUGGUUUUAGGGCUGCUACAUUUCAUAAACAUUGUUCUCCUAUAGUUACUCUACAGGUUUGUUAUAGCAACUGUUUCCAAAAUACUCAUGGAUUAAAUGUUACAGGGAUCCAAAAACAGAUAAACAAAAUUGUUUUGGGCUGAUUCCAAAAUGACCCAAAUCUGAACUUUUGCAAGACAUUAAGGAGUUCUUUUCCUUUUCAGGAGAUAUUAAUCAUGUGGAGAUGCAGAGGUUAGCUAGAUCUCUACGUCAGUGCUUGAUUUGAUUUGUUUAACUUCCCAUGGAUUGACGGAGAGGAAGCAAAAAAUGACUGUAUGGGAGAAUAUGCAGAAAGCUGAAGCAGAAGCAGCCAUACAAAACCUUGUGAUAAAACUUGAAAAGAAAAGGCCAUACUCGCUAGAGAGGAUUUUCAACACCCUUAGGUCUGGCUCUCGGAAGACACAGGUGGUACGCAGUACAUCAACCGCAAAUCAGAAUCAGCAUAUUUCCAGAACUAUCAAAACGGCGCCAAACCUCAGCAAGAACGGUCAAAUGAGUUCAUUGAGUGGAUGCUUCAGACAAGAUCUAUAGCAUGGAUCAUAAUCUGGAUUGUCCUUAAGUUUUUAUUGUGCUAGGGGAACAUAAGAAAGUAUGUAGAGCAAAAUGAGAGGAGCUGUUGUUACCCUCAAUUCUUUGUGAUUAUUGUGCUAGAGUGAUGUAGUUGUUGGCUUUUGAACAAUAGCUGGAGUGAUAUGAAACAUUAGUGAUCUAGUUGUGAAUGAUAUUAUAAUUGUGAUGGUUUUGUGAAUA